GCCAUGGAAGUAUGUCUAAAUGGUCAUGGUUGGAAGCAUACACCAAGUUCAAGUGACCUACAAAAUACUGCACCAAGCCAAAUGCCAAGUAUCAUGUAGGAUACAUACCAUAAUUUUCCAUGUGCAUUAGCAUAUUGCAAGUUCAGGACACCAUUAUCUUGCUGCAAAUUCAGAACAACAUGGCCUAGCAUUCAAAACUUGUUGCUCUACAAACUAUUACGACAAACUGCAAUUGGCAUUGAAGCAGUUCGACAUCCUACAAUGUUCAGGACAACAGCAAAUCUGCAUCAUGGAAAUGCAAUUCAUCAAAUCAUCAUGCCAAGACACCACAUACAACUAUCCAUUUCUUUUUUUCUACUGACUUUCAUAAUUAACCUAAUAGGUAAUCAUUUGCAUAUGUAAGUUCAACUGAUUUUCAUGACAAUUCUUCAAUAUGAUUUCAUCAUUUUUAGCACUUGAAGUCAUAACUAAUACAAUAUUCAAAAGAUCUUGGCCCGACCUUUCAUUCAGCAGUAGCAUGUCCAAGUCUUUCUAAUAAUCAAACCAGUUCUCCUAACUUCACAACAACUCAAGAAUCAGCAGGGCAAGGUCCAUUUGAGCAGUCAUCAAAAUACUUUCACAUCAGUAGGAGUUGUGCAACUGUUAGCAAUCUGAAGCAUUAAACACAAACCCUAUAGUAUCCAAGACCAAAAGUAUCUCUCGGCAAAUCCCAACAUUGCACUCAAUAAGUCCCAACAGAGUUUGAAUUAGAAAGGAAACAUUCAUCACACUAUAGGCCUGUAAUGAGUUACCCAUGUUUGAGUUGUACUAACCCUAACCAUAAUUAUGACCAUUCUAACAUGUUUACCUGCAACUUCCAAUCACACCAAAAUAAAACCUGCAAUCUGCAACAAAUCAAUUUAAAACUUGCAUCUCAAAAAUAACUAACCAAACCUGCAUUUAAACAUUUACCAGUUUAACAGGUCAUCUUCGAUUCACAAUAGUCACACCAUAUAACUCUAAUUCAAUAUAUUACCUGUUAUUAACCAGACACAUUUGAUCACUGACAAAACUAAAAACCUAACUAAUUAACUGACUAAGACAUUUCACAGCUAACUUCUUAAUUUGGAUUUGCAUUUAGCCUAAAUUACAUGUGGAUUUGUAACAGAAUGGGGAGAAGGUUCUAUAAAAGCUCAUCACAAUUCAGUUGGAAAAAGGAUUUUCACUAUCAAAACACUCACAAAAUCGACCUCUGAACUCUCUCUCUCUCUCUCUCUCUCCUCGUCGUAUCUCCUUCUCAUCGCUCUCUUCUCUCUAUAUAUAUAAUAUUAUAAUAUAAUAUAUAUAUAUUAUAUAUAUAUAUAUAUAUAUAUAUAUAUAUAAUAUAUAUAUUAUAAUAUAUAUAUAUAAUAUAUAUAUAUAAUAUAUAUAUAUAUAUAUAUAUAUAUAUUAUAUAAAUAAGAUAUAUCCCCCUCAACCUCACAUAUACACACUCUUCGGGAAGCCAUUGAAGCUCAUCAUCAGAACUUCAAUCAGCCUGUGCUAAGCUCCAUCAUCAAUACACGCUUUACUUCUAAUUCACUGGCACCUCUUAAUUCUCUCAUACUAAAAUAAACUAAGAUACACAUAGAAGAAGAAGAAAUCGAAGAAGAAGGAGAAUUCUGAGACAAAGAGAAGAAGGAUUCAAAGACUUAGAGCAUCACACUUGUGUUCCGACGUCAUCUCCGGUGAGUACUUUUCAUUUCUCUUCAGCAUUUUGGUUCAUCCUAGUUGCCAUGAUGUAGAGUUUGGUCGGAGGAGUCAUAGCCCUAACCUCUAAGGCCUUGAUUCCGAAGUUUGAGAAUGUAAUUUCGAUUUUAGUUUCUAGGGUUCUUAAACACUUUGCUCUGAUUCAGAUUGUCAAGGAAGACUUGUAGAUUUCUGGGGCAAGAUUCUGAUCCAGAGGAAAGAGAUGAAGGAGAUGAGUUAGGUAGUGCAGGAAUUUAAGCUUCGCCGCCGUCGGAGGCGACCUCCGACACGG
rnacentral:lncRNA from 1 species